CUUUUCCGUUUUCUCUGAUCUCGGUGGCAGGGAUUUUCAGCAAAUGCCCUAACCCUCUCUGUAGGGGGCUCACGUUCACCAUUUCCAGGGUGAGUUCAUCUCUGUGUAACUCGUCCUUACCAUUCCUGGAGUGACUGGGUGUGUGAUCUAUUCUCACCAUUCCUGGGGUGAUCUCAUCGAUGUGUGAUGCAUCUUCACCAUUCCUGGAGUAACCUCAUCCAUGUGAGAUACAUCCUUAUCAUUUCUGGGGUAACCUCAUCUAUAUGUGAUCUACCCUCCAUUCCUGGGGUGACCUCAUCUGUGUGGCACACAAUGUGAUUAUAAAAAGACAAAGAGGCAUGACUUCCUCACCUCAUCUAUGUGUGAUCCAUCCUUGACAUUCCUGGGGUGACUGGGUGUGUGAAGGUCUAACUCCACCUCCACCCCAACCCCACUCCAGACCUCUUGGACCAGCCAGCCAUAUUAUCAGGGGACGUAAUUAAUGACAUUUGACCUUGCAUCCCAGUUGGAAAGCAUUCAUGCCUUACCUUCAUCCUUCAUCAAACAGCUCAAGCCAGUUGCUACUAGAGUUGAGGGUCCCUAGGGUGGAGUAGACAUCGUUCUCUUUUUAUGCUUUUAAAUAUUGGUAAGUGCCCUGAACUAGUCUUAGGUCAACUUGACACAAGCUAGAGUCAUCUGAAAGGAGGGAAUUUCUAUUGAGGAAAUGCCUCCAUGAGAUCCAGCUAUAGGGGAUUUCCUUAAUUAGUGAUCAGUGGGGGAGGGCCCAGCCCACUGUGUUCUAACCCUGGGCUGAUGGUCCUGAGUUCUAUAAGAAAGCAAGGUGAGCAAGCCAUGAUGAGCAAGCCAGCAAGCAGCACCCCUCCAUGGCCUCUGCAUCAGCUCCUGCCUCUGGGUUCCUGCCCUGUUUGAGUUCCUGUCCUGACUUUCUUCGAUGAUGAACAGUGAUGUGGAAGAUUCUUCGGCCCGGAAAAAAUAGCAGCGGAAGGAGAGAGAGAAAUCCUUCCCUGGUGAGCUGGAUUCCUCGAAGUUGCAGACUGUGAAAAGCGGGAUGCAGUUGUUCAAGAUGUGAACUCCCAGCAUCCUGGUCCAUAUGCCUGCCUGCUUGCUGUCUCUUCCGUGCCUUUAUGGGUGCUAACCCUCUGGGACCACAAGACAACAUAACAACAAGACCAUCUUCCUUAAGAUGCCUUGGUCAUGGUGUGUCUUAUCGCAGCGGCAGAAAAGUACUGAAUACAAGGGACAACCCGACUGUGUGUUUGCGCCAAGCGAUCUCGUAGACACGGGCCAGUCUAUGGACUAACUGCCCUUGUGCAUCUAUACCUAUCACUGUCAGAGCACAGAAGAACGAGCCGCGGUGAACAGUGAAUGUCUUGGGGAACUGUGGGAAAGGCUCCAGGAGAAAAGGCAGAGGGCCUUUUAUCUCAGGGGUGUCUUGUUUCCUGGAUUGUUCUUGGACGUGAUUUUGUGCUUCCUGUGUUAAACAUUGACGUUCAAGCCGUAAGGCAUGUUUAUUCUUGUUGGAUGUCUGGACAUAGCUAUAGAACCCAAUCUGGUCAGUGUACCCUGAAUGUGGAUGUGGCCUUCUGCCUUGCUUAUGUGCUUUCCCAGGUAUAGUCUACAGUACAUUCCAGGUAAUUGUGUUUAAACUGGUCUGUCCUGAGAAAGUUCUGGGAAAGGGCUGCCCUGUUAAUAGUAUGAGCUUACUGGUGCUAAUUUGCAUAUUUUUCUGAUCACUUUUUUUUUUUUUCAAAACUCAAACAGCCUUCCUUGGAUCAUUCCUUUCUUUGUUACAUUGUGUAUAAAAGGACACAGAAACUGAAGUAAGGUUGUCUACAGCAUCACACUCUAGUCUGCCCGUUCUUUCAGGUCUUCAGCGUCAGGUCCAGCAGACAAGAUCUGCACAGGUUGAUGCAAACUGACACAGGAUUACCUCUCUUCUGUUUAUUUUGGUUUUAUUGUUUGAGAUCUAGUCUCCCGUGGUCCAGGCUGGCCUUGAACUAGAUAUACAGCUAAGAUGAUCCUCCUGCCUCCACCUCCCAAGAGCUGGGAUUGCAGGUGUGCGCCUCUAUUCCUGGUUUAUGCAGCACUGGGGCGUCAAUCCAGGACAACAUGCUUGCUAGGCAACAUGCAUGCUAGGCAAGAACUAUACCGACUGAGCUACACCCCAGCCCUCUGUAUCCAUUUUUUUUAAAAAAACCAUCUGGAGAAACAAGUUGGGGGAAUAAAUUACAUAGGAAUUUGG
ensembl:lincRNA 1110002J07Rik RIKEN cDNA 1110002J07 gene